rnacentral:rRNA from 1 species
AACAGGGAUGCCCAGUAACGGCGAGUGAAGCGGCAAAAGCUCAAAUUUGAAAUCUGGCUCCUUAGGGGUCCGAGUUGUAAUUUGUAGAGGAUGCUUCGGGUGUGGCCACGGCCUAAGUUCCUUGGAACAGGACGUCAUAGAGGGUGAGAAUCCCGUCUUGGGUUGUUGGUCCACGCCCGUGUGAAGCUCCUUCGACGAGUCGAGUUGUUUGGGAAUGCAGCUCUAAGCGGGUGGUAAAUUUCAUCUAAAGCUAAAUAUUGGCCGGAGACCGAUAGCGCACAAGUAGAGUGAUCGAAAGGUUAAAAGCACCUUGAAAAGGGAGUUAAACAGCACGUGAAAUUGUUGAAAGGGAAGCGUUUGCGGCCAGACUCGGGCGUGAGGUUCAGCGGGUGCGUGUCACCCGUGCACUCCUCGCCGCCCGGGCCAGCAUCAGUUCUAACGGCCGGUCAAAGGCCCUCGGAAUGUGUCGUCUCUAGGGACGUCUUAUAGCCGGGGGUGCAAUGCGGCCCGUCGGGACUGAGGAACGCGCUUCGGCUCGGAUGCUGGCAUAAUGGCCGUAAACGGCCCGUCUUGAAACACGGACCAAGGAGUCUAACAUCCACGCGAGUGUUCGGGUGUCAAACCCGUGCGCGCAGUGAAAGCGAACGGAGGU